AUUGAACGCUGGCGGCAGGCCUAACACAUGCAAGUCGAGCGAGCGGCGGACGGGUGAGUAAUGUAUGGGGACUGCCCGAUAGAGGGGGAUAACUACUGGAAACGGUGGCUAAUACCGCAUACUAUCGGAUAACCCAUAUGGGAUUAGCUAGUAGGUGGGGUAAAGGCUCACCUAGGCGACGAUCUCUAGCUGGUCUGAGAGGAUGACGCGCCACCCUGGGACUGGAACACGGCCCCAACCCCGACGGCGGCAGCAGUUGGGAAUAUUUCACCAUGGGCGCAAGCCUUAUGCCGCCAUGCCGAGAGUAGUAAUGAGGCCUUAGGGUUGUAAAGUACUUUCAGCGGGGAGGCGUUACCCGCAGAAGAAGCACCGGCUAACUCCGUGCCAGCCGCCGCGGUAAUAC
rnacentral:rRNA from 1 species